AUUGAACGCUGGCGGCAGGCUUAACACAUGCAAGUCGAGCGGGGGAGGUUGCUUCGGUAACUGACCUAGCGGCGGACGGGUGAGUAAUGCUUAGGAAUCUGCCUAUUAGUGGGGGACAACAUCUCGAAAGGGAUGCUAAUACCGCAUACGUCCUACGGGAGAAAGCAGGGGACCUUCGGGCCUUGCGCUAAUAGAUGAGCCUAAGUCGGAUUAGCUAGUUGGUGGGGUAAAGGCCUACCAAGGCGACGAUCUGUGGCGGGUCUGAGAGGAUGAUCCGCCACACUGGGACUGAGACACGGCCCAGACUCCUACGGGAGGCAGCAGUGGGGAAUAUUGGACAAUGGGGGGAACCCUGAUCCAGCCAUGCCGCGUGUGUGAAGAAGGCCUUUUGGUUGUAAAGCACUUUAAGCGAGGAGGAGGCUACUGGUAUUAAUACUACCGGAUAGUGGACGUUACUCGCAGAAUAAGCACCGGCUAACUCUGUGCCAGCCGCCGCAGUAAAAC
rnacentral:rRNA from 1 species